rnacentral:rRNA from 1 species
UGGGGAAUAUUGCACAAUGGGCGCAAGCCUGAUGCAGCCAUGCCGCGUGUAUGAAGAAGGCCUUCGGGUUGUAAAGUACUUUCAGCGGGGAGGAAGGUGUUGAGGCUAAUAACCUCAGCAAUUGACGUUACCCGCAGAAGAAGCACCGGCUAACUCCGUGCCAGCAGCCGCGGUAAUACGGAGGGUGCAAGCGUUAAUAGGAAUUACUGGGCGUAAAGCGCACGCAGGCGGUCUGUCAAGUCGGAUGUGAAAUCCCCGGGCUCAACCUGGGAACUGCAUUCGAAACUGGCAGGCUAGAGUCUUGUAGAGGGGGGUAGAAUUCCAGGUGUAGCGGUGAAAUGCGUAGAGAUCUGGAGGAAUACCGGUGGCGAAGGCGGCCCCCUGGACAAAGACUGACGCUCAGGUGCGAAAGCGUGGGGAGCAAACG